GACGAACGCUGGCGGCGUGCUUAACACAUGCAAGUCGAACGGAAAGGCCCUGCUUUUGUGGGGUGCUCGAGUGGCGAACGGGUGAGUAACACGUGAGUAACCUGCCCUUGACUUUGGGAUAACUUCAGGAAACUGGGGCUAAUACCGGAUAGGAGCUCCUGCUGCAUGGUGGGGGUUGGAAAGUUUCGGCGGUUGGGGAUGGACUCGCGGCUUAUCAGCUUGUUGGUGGGGUAGUGGCUUACCAAGGCUUUGACGGGUAGCCGGCCUGAGAGGGUGACCGGCCACAGUGGGACUGAGGUACGGCCCAGACUCCUACGGGAGGCAGCAGUGGGGAAUAUUGCACAAUGGGCGGAAGCCGGAUGCAGCAACGCCGCGUGCGGGAUGACGGCCUUCGGGUUGUAAACCGCUUUCGCCUGUGACGAAGCGUGAGUGACGGUAAUGGGGAAAGAAGCACCGGCUAACUACGU
rnacentral:rRNA from 1 species